rnacentral:rRNA from 1 species
GACGAACGCUGGCGGCGUGCUUAACACAUGCAAGUCGAGCGGUAAGGCCCUUUCGGGGGUACACGAGCGGCGAACGGGUGAGUAACACGUGGGUGACCUGCCCUUAGCUCUGGGAUAAGCCUGGGAAACUGGGUCUAAUACCGGAUAUGACUCCAUGACGCAUGUUGUGGGGUGGAAAGCCUUGUGCGGCUAGGGAUGGGCCCGCGGCCUAUCAGCUUGUUGGUGGGGUGAUGGCCUACCAAGGCGACGACGGGUAGCCGGCCUGAGAGGGCGACCGGCCACACUGGGACUGAGACACGGCCCAGACUCCUACGGGAGGCAGCAGUGGGGAAUCUUGCGCAGUGGGCGAAAGCCUGACGCAGCGACGCCGCGUGAGGGAUGACGGCCUCGG